rnacentral:rRNA from 1 species
CCUACGGGAGGCAGCAGUGGGGGAUAUUGCACAAUGGGGGAAACCCUGAUGCAGCGACGCCGCGUGGGUGAAGAAGCGCCUCGGCGCGUAAAGCCCUGUCAGCAGGGAAGAAAAUGACGGUACCUGAAGAAGAAGCCCCGGCUAACUACGUGCCAGCAGCCGCGGUAAUACGUAGGGGGCAAGCGUUAUCCGGAUUUACUGGGUGUAAAGGGGGCGCAGACGGCGAUGCAAGCCAGGAGGGAAAGCCCGGGGCCCAACCCCGGGACUGCCCUUGGAACUGCGUGGCUAGAGUGCAGGAGGGGCAGGCGGAAUGCCUGGUGUAGCGGUGAAAUGCGUAGAUAUCAGGAGGAACACCGGUGGCGAAGGCGGCCUGCUGGACUGCAACUGACGUUGAGGCACGAAAGCGUGGGGAGCAAACAGGAUUAGAUACCCGAGUAGUC